rnacentral:lncRNA from 1 species
GGGGUGGGAGGGGACCAGUAACACAACCAUUGUGUGAACGAUGCAGCUGCUGCUGCUGCAGCGGGUCGUCGCAACCUGCCAAGUACCCGUGACAGAGUGUCGCAGGCUUCGGUCAGGGGCAGUCGCGGGUAAUGUUGAUCAGAAAGUUUGCACUGGGUGGGCGUGGGGACCAGAAAAUGAAGCAGUGAAUGAAUGAGUGAGUGGAUCCAGAGACGAUGGAU